CUUCUAAGCCUGAAUCUUUUUUGGCAAAGUAGCAAUUGGCCCCUGUUACGAACGUAUAGUAGAUACACUGUUCGCCUAUUCCUCCAGAACUGCUGAGUCUGAGUGAUUAGCUGCAGUUCGGGUGUAGAUUUGAACGGUUCCAGACCAAUGCAGCAUCCAAGUAUUUUCUCCCCAGCAAGUAGACAGUUACCAAAACAUGAGCCUAGACUUCAUGAAGGGUACAACAGGAAAUCAAGUUUCAUGGUGCCACACUGGUUUUAUGCAAGUCCCCAUGCAAAGGGCACUCCCACAUGGACCUUGUGGGAAGCUACCCACUCAGGUGAUUGAUACAUAUCUUGGAGAUAGAAACGUCCUUGUUUAUUAUAAGAGCCCCUUCCUCUCCAGUAUAUUCCCAUUACAUACUUACCAGCAUCGCCAGGGCUAGGAUUUUCUAUGUUUAGGGAAAGUUUCAUUGGAGUCGCCCCUCCCGUUUUUCGUAAAGUCAUUCUACGUAAUAAGGAUUCCCCAUUUCUGUCCAACCUGUCCAGGGCACUCUGUGGUUUGUAUCCCCACGCUGUUCCAGUGUUCCAACCCGCCGCCUCCAGGAACUGCAGUCAUGUCCCCAAUAAUCGUCUGUAACACAUAUAUAUGGGUCUUUUAUGCAGGGUAUAUCCUUGUAUACAUUUUGUACCAAUGAUUGUGGGAAUGGACAGCUGACAAUAUCACAAUAGUCAAAUGCGAAGGUGGCUACAUUUGUGUUAGAAGAGUUAUACCAAAAUGUAAACACAUUAUCAUCUUUAGUAAUGGC